rnacentral:rRNA from 1 species
AGAGUUUGAUCAUGGCUCAGAUUGAACGCUGGCGGCAGGCUUAACACAUGCAAGUCGAGCGGUAACAGGGGGAGCUUGCUUCCCGCUGACGAGCGGCGGACGGGUGAGUAAUGCUUAGGAAUCUGCCCAGUAGUGGGGGAUAGCCCGGGGAAACCCGGAUUAAUACCGCAUACGUCCUACGGGAGAAAGCAGGGGAUCUUCGGACCUUGCGCUAUUGGAUGAGCCUAAGUCGGAUUAGCUAGUUGGUGGGGUAAAGGCCUACCAAGGCGACGAUCCGUAGCUGGUCUGAGAGGAUGAUCAGCCACAUCGGGACUGAGACACGGCCCGAACUCCUACGGGAGGCAGCAGUGGGGAAUAUUGGACAAUGGGGGCAACCCUGAUCCAGCCAUGCCGCGUGUGUGAAGAAGGCUUUCGGGUUGUAAAGCACUUUCAGUAGGGAGGAAAACCUUAUGGCUAAUACCCAUGAGGCUUGACGUUACCUACAGAAGAAGCACCGGCUAACUCCGUGCCAGCAGCCGCGGUAAUACGGAGGGUGCAAGCGUUAAUCGGAAUUACUGGGCGUAAAGCGCGCGUAGGUGGUUUGGUAAGCGAGAUGUGAAAGCCCCGGGCUUAACCUGGGAACGGCAUUUCGAACUGUCAGACUAGAGUGUGGUAGAGGGUAGUGGAAUUUCCUGUGUAGCGGUGAAAUGCGUAGAUAUAGGAAGGAACACCAGUGGCGAAGGCGGCUACCUGGACCAACACUGACACUGAGG